UACAGGGGGUGCAAACGUUGCUCGGAAUCAUUGGGCGUAAAGCGCACGUAGGCGGUUCGUUAUGUCGGAUGUGAAAGCCCUUGGCUUAACCGAGGAAGUGCAUCCGAAACUGGCGAGCUAGAGUACUAAAGAGGAUCGCGGAAUUCCCGGUGUAGAGGUGAAAUUCGUAGAUAUCGGGAGGAACACCGGUGGCGAAGGCGGCGAUCUGGGUAGAUACUGACGCUGAGGUGCGAAGGCGUGGGGAGCAAACAG
rnacentral:rRNA from 1 species